UUUGAGCUCCCACCAACGUCCUGCUUCCCCUACCAGUAUGUAGGAAGUAAGGGCGGCUCUCUGCUCAGAAACUACUCCCAAGGUCUUGAAAGCUCUCUCAGUUUCCGCCAGCUAGUACUGGGCCUCUUCAAAGGAGGAUCCCCCUGCAAAUGUAGAGGGGUUCAGUCUCUUGUACCUCUCUAUGUAGCCCGGGUCGAUCAAGGAAGGAGGUCCCGU
rnacentral:lncRNA from 1 species